CAUCCCUAUGUUUAUAACAGCACUAUUGACAAUGGCCAAAGUGCGGAAAGAGCCCAGAUGUCCAUCGAUGGACGAAUGGAUAAAGACAACGUGUGAUACAUACAUGGAAUACACAAUGGAGUAUUACUUGGUGAU